UACGAGUGGGGCAAGCGUUGUUCGGAAUUACUGGGCUUAAAGCGUGCGUAGGCGGUCAUGAAAGUCAGAAGUGAAAGCCCUGGGCUUAACCCGGGAAUUGCUUUUGAAACUCCAUGACUAGAGACUGGGAGAGGUUAGCAGAAUUCCGAGUGGAGAGGUGAAAUUCGCAGAUAUUCGGAGGAAUACCAGUGGCGAAGGCGGCUAACUGGACCGGUACUGACGCUCAGGCACGAAAGCGUGGGGAUCAAACAGG
rnacentral:rRNA from 1 species